rnacentral:rRNA from 1 species
AUACGGAGGAUGCAAGCGUUAUCCGGAUUUAUUGGGUUUAAAGGGUGCGCAGGCGGCGCGUUAAGUCAGCGGUGAAAUGUCCCGGCUCAACCGGGGCCCUGCCGUUGAUACUGGCGUGCUGGAGUACGGACGGAGCCGGCGGAAUGUGUCAUGUAGCGGUGAAAUGCUUAGAUAUGCCACAGAACACCGAACGCGAAGGCAGCUGGCGAGGCCGGUACUGACGCUCAUGCACGAAAGCGUGGGGAUCAAACAGGAUUAGAUACCCUGGUAGUCCACGCAGUAAACGAUGAUAACUUGUUGUCGGCGAUAGAUAGUCGGUGACAAAGCGAAAGCGAUAAGUUAUCCACCUGGGGAGUACGAUCGCAAGGUUGAAACUCAAAUGAAUUGACGGGG